AUCACCUAGGAAUCUUGCUAAAAUGCAGAUUUUGAUUGAAUAGAUCUGGGAUGGGGCUCAAGAAUUUGCAUUUCUAACAGAUUCUCAGGUGAUGUUGA
rnacentral:pre_miRNA from 1 species